GAUCAAAUGUGGUGUAGUGGUUUGAGCGUUGGACUAUGGCUCUGGAGACCAGGGUUCAAAUCCCUGCCUGGCCA